UUCAAGUAAUCCAGGAUAGGCUGUGUCCGUUUAAGGUGGCCUAUUCUCGAUGACUUGUCUC
rnacentral:pre_miRNA from 1 species